GCCGCGGUGGCACAACCUGGUACUGCGCAGGAUUGCUAAUCCUGUUUCCGCAAGGAUAUCUGAGUUCAAAUCUCAGCCGCGGCG
rnacentral:tRNA from 1 species